GAGUAACACGUGACCAACCUGCCCCCUCCUCCGGGACAACCUCGGGAAACCGAGGCUAAUACCGGAUACUCCGGGUACCCCGCAUGGGAUGCCCGGGAAAGCCCUGGCGGGAGGGGAUGGGGUCGCGGCCCAUCAGGUAGACGGCGGGGUAACGGCCCACCGUGCCUGCAACGGGUAGCCGGGCUGAGAGGCCGAUCGGCCACAUUGGGACUGAGACACGGCCCAGACUCCUACGGGAGGCAGCAGUGGGGAAUUUUGCGCAAUGGGGGCAACCCUGACGCAGCGACGCCGCGUGCGGGACGAAGUCAUUCGUGACGUAAACCGCUUUCAGCGAGGAAGAACCAUGACGGUACUCGCAGAAGAAGCCCCGGCUAACUACGUGCCAGCAGCCGCGGUAAUACGUAGGGGGCGAGCGUUAUCCGGAAUCAUUGGGCGUAAAGCGCGCGCAGGCGGGCUUUCAAGCGGGGCGUCGAAGCCGGGGGCUCAACCCCCGGAAGCGCCCCGAACUGGAAGCCUCGGAUGCGGCAGGGGGAGGCGGAAUUCCCGGUGUAGCGGUGAAAUGCGCAGAUAUCGGGAAGAACACCGACGGCGAAGGCAGCCUCCUGGGCCGGCAUCGACGCUGAGGCGCGAAAGCUGGGGGAGCGAACAGGAUUAGAUACCCUGGUAGUCCCAGCCGUAAACGAUGGACGCUAGGUGUGGGGGGAACAUCCCUCCGUGCCGAAG
rnacentral:rRNA from 1 species